rnacentral:rRNA from 1 species
CCACAGGGAUUGCCUCAGUAACGGCGAGUGAAGCGGCAACAGCUCAAAUUUGAAAUCUGGCCCCAGCGGUCCGAGUUGUAAUUUGCAGAGGAUGCUUUUGACAAGGUGCCUUCCGAGUUCCCUGGAACGGGACGCCAUAGAGGGUGAGAGCCCCGUACGGUCGGUUGCCGAGUCUCUGUAAAGCUCCUUCGACGAGUCGAGUAGUUUGGGAAUGCUGCUCUAAAUGGGAGGUAAACCCCUUCUAAAGCUAAAUACUGGCCAGAGACCGAUAGCGCACAAGUAGAGUGAUCGAAAGAUGAAAAGCACUUUGAAAAGAGAGUUAAAUAGCACGUGAAAUUGUUGAAAGGGAAGCGCUUGUGACCAGACUUGUGCCUGGCAGCUCAGCCGUCCUUUUGGGCGGUGCAUUCUGCCGGCUCAGGCCAGCAUCAGUUCGCGGUUGGGGAGAAAGGUAGCGGGAACGUAGCUCUUCGGAGUGUUAUAGCCCGCUGCUAUGCCCUUCCGCGGACUGAGGUUCGCGCUCUGCAAGGAUGCUGGCGUAAUGGUCAUCAGCGACCCGUCUUGAAACACGGACCAAGGAGUCGUCCUAAUAUGCGAGUGUUCGGGUGCCAAACCCCUGCGCGUAAUGAAAGUGAACGGAGGUGAGAGCUUCGCGCAUCAUCGACCGAUCCUGAUGGUCUCGGAUGGAUUUGAGUAAGAGCAUAUUGGGCCGGACCCGAAAGAAGUGACUAUCGUGGAUAGGGUAAAACCAAAGGAAACUCUGGUGGAGGCUCCCAACGGUUUUACCUGCCAAUCGAUCGUCAAAUUGCGCAUGGGGGGCGAAAGACUAAUCGAAUCUUUUAAUA